CAGCAGCCGCCGCGGGAAUACGAAGGGUGCAAGCGUUAAUCGGAAUUACUGGGCGUAAAGCGUGCGUAGGCGGUUUGUUAAGUCUGCUGUGAAAUCCCCGGGCUCAACCUGGGAAUGGCAGUGGAUACUGGCAAGCUAGAGUGUGUCAGAGGAUGGUGGAAUUCCCGGUGUAGCGGUGAAAUGCGUAGAGAUCGGGAGGAACAUCAGUGGCGAAGGCGGCCAUCUGGGACAACACUGACGCUGAGGCACGAAAGCGUGGGGAGCAAACAGGAUUAGAUACCCCUGUAGUCCCUGUCUCUUAUAC
rnacentral:rRNA from 1 species